AAACUUUUAGUAUAAUAAAGUAUUUUUAAUUGCAAAUUAAAAGGUUAAAAGUUUU
rnacentral:tRNA from 1 species